UCCGAAUUGGUGUAGUGGCUAACAUUUGACGCUCUCAAGAUUGAAAGAUCUGAAGAACCGUCAAGCCCGGGGUUCGAUUCCCCGAUUCGGAG